GUUUUCCUGCGCUCUCACACACACACACACACACACACACACACUCACACGCACGCGCACACACACAAUCAGGAGGAAUAUAUAUAAGCCUCUUGGGACAAGGUUAUACCUUAGUUUUUAUCCUGCCUGGUAAAAGGAGUUUUACUUGGUCUUCUUUGGAUUAAUAUUUCGCCACUUCGUAUUUCGGACAGUAUGGAAAGUAAAAGGCAAAUGAAAUUCCACCUGCUUGAAUUAGCCCUGGUUUUAUUUUUCAUGAAGGCUCGCGCCUCAGAAACCUUUCCAAAAGCACAGAACGUAACCUGGUCCUCUAUCAAUUUUAAAUCCAUAUUAACAUGGAGUCCAGAACCAACGAAUUAUUCCUACACUGUUGAAUUUUCAGAACUCGGCCAGAACAGAGACCGAACGCCACACUGUAUAAGGACGAUGGCAACUGAAUGCGACCUGACUGCAGGGUUGAAAAACCUGAAGGCCCAUUACAGCGCUGACAUCCUGUCUGAACCCAUGCGGGGCGUCUCCUCCGAUCUGGUUGAGUUCCCUCAUGUCAGAUCGGAGAAAUUCUCCCCUUACUAUGACACUGCCAUUGGCAGACCAGAGUUUAAAAUAGAAGUAAGCAGCGACAAAAGGAAGACGACGCUGCACGUAACGGACAUCCCCACGGCUCUCUUUAAUGAGGAUAAAAAGAGGCUGAAUAUUCGGGAUGUUUUCGGAGACAACCUGCAGUAUAAGGUUACCUACAGGAAAGCCAAGAGCACAGGAAAGAAAGAGAAGAUCAGUAAAAGCAGCAUCAUUGAGCUGACGGAUUUGGACCGAGGCGAGAGUUACUGUUUUUAUGUUCAGGCUUUCCUACCCUUCCGUGCUCUAGACAAACAACACGGGGAGAUCAGCAACAUCCAGUGCUCUCCAGAAGAAAGCCCAUCUAUCUUUGAAGAGUACGGUGUGGGUGUCAUAGUCGGAGCCAUUGUUAUUAUCAUUUUGGCAAUAACAGCAAUCAUUAUUGUCAUCGUGAUGUGCUGCAGACGAAGAAAGAGAGCGGAAAACACAGGAAAAGAAGGAUUACCAUUGAAUGUUGCGUGAAGAGUGUGGAUGCUGUGUUUGGUAGAUCUAAAUUAGACUCUCCCUUAGGGAGGAUGGCAUCCUGUUCCACUAUAAAACAGUGGGAAAAUUGUGUUUCUGUGAAACCUCAAAAUGUAGAUUAGACAUAUAAUUUAGCAAGACAAGACCUUUAUACUGUCAGGUGGUGGGUUCUUUAGUCUGGCACUGAAGUGUACUGUAUUAACAUUUUUAGAAGCAAUACCUAAUUUCAUCUACUUGCUAACAAAUGGAAAUACUGUAUGAUUUAUGAUGGGGUUUUUUGUACGCACUUGGGAGAAUCAAAAUCAGUAAUACUAAUUUAUUUUUUUUAGCUAUUAAUGUGGUAAGCUGUAUUUGUUUUUAAAGUAUAUUUGUGUUUUAACAGCAAAAUGCACUGCUAAGUUUUAACGCAUUGCAACUGUACAUGGCUAACCAGCGAUCAUAAAAUAAUGUCAAAUCUGGUUUAUUGUUGCCAUUUUGAUAUCACUGUUCUACAAACCUGUGAAUCCAGUAGGAAUGGUACUGAUGUGGAUUUUAUUUUUUAAUAAAACAAUUAAAUAUACAAAAAUGCACAUGUGGACUAAUCAGAAUGCAGACCUUUGUCAUUAUAUUUUCUAUCUUCAGAGGAGAGAUUGUGCCUUAUGAGAAAACUUAGUAAUGAAAAUCAAACUCAUAUUUAAACUCAAACUCAUAUAGAUGUUGAACAAUAAGGUAAAUAUACAAUAGCUCAAUGGCGCCCCCAAUUGUAAUUAGUAAAAUUCCAUUUAAUGUGACUCUCCUUAAAAAAAUGUGUCUCCUUUUAAGUGUAAAUUGUUUCGCUUUUAAUUUAAAGAAAUGUAAAUGUAUAGAUAGAUAGAUAGAUUUUUUGUCUAUACAAAGUCCAAGACC